rnacentral:lncRNA from 1 species
UCAGUGACGGGCAGCGAGGACGCCUGCGUGCAUUUCUUCGACGUGGGGCGCUCGGCCCGGGCCACGGUCAACACCCUGCAGGGCCACGGCGGCGCCGUGCUGGCCGUGGCCUUCAACUGCGACGAGAGCCUGCUGGCCUCCAGCGACGCCACCGGCACCGUCAUCGUCUGGCGCCGCCAGCACGCCUGAAACCCCCCCGAUUUCCCCCAAAAUCCCCCCCCCACCCCACCCCAAGCGGUCCCCCCCCCCCCCCCCCCUCCCCGGCAAGGCACGGACCCCCCAGCUGCGUUCAACAAGCCUUGUUUUGCACCCCCGCUGUGGGUUUUGGGUCAGAAAAGGUACUUGCGGCACGCGGCGGCCCCGCACUUGCACUCGAUGCGGCCCCGGGAGCGGGGGGAGCCCCCCAGGCCCCCCCCCGCCAGCCCGAAGUUGGAGUCCAUGCGGGUGCUCUCGGCGUCCACCGGGUCCACUGCGGGGAGAGGGGGGGGUGAGGGGGUGGCCUGCGGGCUUGUGGGGCACGCUGUGGGGUGCUACAGGUCAGGGUGUGGGGCGCAGUGGGGCGCUAUGGGGCGCAGUGGGGCCGUACCGUGCAUGUUGUAGUCGAAGGUGAGCUCCUCGCCGGCGCGGAUGGGGCGCGUGGCGAACAGGGCGAUGCGCGGCAGGCGCUCGUCCAGGUUCUCGAUGAAGACGUUGUACACCUGCAGGUUGGGGUCGCACUGGGGGGGGAGAGGGCGGGGUCAGACGGGGACACGCCCCCUGCCCCGCCUACUGCAUGUGAUUGACAGCUGGGGAGCCCCGCCCACUGACUCGGAGGUGAAAGGGGGGGGAAUGGGUCAUUUGUGAGUGGGGCCUUAAUUAGGGGGUGAUUAGUGAACAGCCAGGGGUAAUUAGCCAUUAGCCUAGAGUAAUUAGCAAUUGGUCAGGGGCAAUUAGCUAUCAGCCCAGGCCAAUUAGCCCUUGGCCAGGGUAAUUAGCAAUUACUCAGGGGCAAUUAGCGAUCGGCCCAGGGGCAAUUUCAGCUGUCAGCUGGGGGCAGUUAGCCAUUAGCAGGGGGCCACCAGUGGGGCAAUUAGCCCCGGCGGGGGGCAGUUAGCCAUUAGCGGGGUUCGUUAGCUGUCGGGGGGGGGGGUUAAUUAGCGUCUCGUUACGCACGCUGUGGUUAACGAAGUGGGAGAUAUUGCCGUAGUGCGCGGCGUCCACGGUGUAGACGUCCUCCACAUAGUCCAGGUCGAAGAGGUACGUGGCGCCCUGCCGGUCGUACACCUGCCCCCGCCGCUCCGCCUCCUCCGACGUGAUGAUCUGGGGGGGAUCCGCGUCAGCACGGCCCCCCCUGGGGUCCCCCAAACCCCCCUGGGGUCUCUCUGGGGC